rnacentral:lncRNA from 11 species
UGCUCGCAUCAGAAAGCCCCAAUCAGUAGAGGGGAGAGAUUUGCCCCUCUAUAGUAGCAGCCAGCCAGAGUUCCAAUACAUUGUUGAAUCUUCAAAGAGGAUACUUCUAAUAAUGAAAAGAACCUUUUGAAUAGAUAGAAUGUGCAGUGACACAUCAUUAACAAUCAACAAAUGACAUCGACCGUAAUGUCGGAAAACCCACAAGUUCCACCAGCAGGGAGGUAUAAACUCUCAACAGACCUCACACUUCUUUCCAUAGAGAAUAUGUCUACUUCACAAAAGAUGAAAAUGGAGAAAGAAAAAGGGAGGACAAGACAGCAGUACAUUCUGUCUCCUUUCAUUCUAGUUUAUAGCAACUGGUGUGGUUUUCAUGGGCCUUUUCGGGAGUUUUACAUUCACAAGUGACAAUCUCUAUCACACCAUUUGAAUAGUUUAUGGAAGAGAUAAAAAUAAGGCUAUCCAAGACAAUUGCCAAUCCUUCAGGUCUGGCCUGGAGUUCAGGAACUGACCUCAUUAUCUUAAGACCUUGAGAGCAGUAAAGGAGAUGUGACAAGAUGCCAUCGUGGUCUCACACAAGUCAAUCAUCUGAAGAGGAUUGAGUAAGAAGGUACAGGACUUAUGGGUCUCGCUCUCUCUUUAUUAAUAAUGAAGAGCAGACAAAGCAUGGAAACGAAUCUAUAGUAAAUAUUGCAAAAUGGAAUUAAAAGAUUGGUAAAUGUGCAGGGACAACCAGAAGAAAUAGAGAAGAGGAAGUGAGUGUCCUACUGAGACAGAAGGCUUCUCAGUAUUGUAUUGGUCAAUCAUACAUUUUUCUUUCUUAUUCAUACUAUGAUAGACUGUGCUGGUAGUAGUGAUGCUAGAAAAUGUUUGUAUAGUUAUGAUGACAAAUGGUACUUGGAACCAUAAGCUGUGUUGCAAGUAGACAUGUGAACAUAAACUCAUCAUUUCAUGGGAUUGGAUGAAAUUGCAUCAGCCAGAAGAGAUACAACUUUCUAACCAAAGCAAAGCAACCUUUUUAGUCAAUCAACAGCAGGGACUGUUGCCCAAAUUGUAGGGCUGGAGCAGAGGACCUAAGCAGAGACUCACUCUUGCCCUUGGCAAGUACUGCAAGAGAUAGGGUUGCCUAUUGAAUUAAAGGCUAGUACUCUGGAAUGUCAUUAAGUACUUCUUUGGUUUACUCUCAAGACCAUGAUAAAAACUCAUGUUGGUGGGAGAUUUCUGGGAAUUCUCCAAAAAAGUAACUUUCCCAACCAAUGAAGUAAAUGUUUAUAUUCUCUGAA